CCUAGGGGAGGCAGCAGUGGGGAAUAUUGCACAAUGGGGGAAACCCUGAUGCAGCGACGCCGCGUGAGUGAAGAAGUAUUUCGGUACGUAAAGCUCUAUCAGCAGGGAAGAAAAUGACGGUACCUGACUAAGAAGCCCCGGCUAACUACGUGCCAGCAGCCGCGGUAAUACGUAGGGGGCAAGCGUUAUCCGGAUUUACUGGGUGUAAAGGGCGCGUAGACGGCAGCGCAAGUCUGGAGUGAAAUCCCAUGGCUUAACCAUGGAAGUGCUUUGGAAACUGUGCAGCGAGAGUGCAGGAGAGGUAAGCGGAAUUCGUAGUGUAGCGGUGAAAUGCGUAGAUAUACGGAGGAACACCAGUGGCGAAGGCGGCCUGCUGGACAUUAACUGACGCUGAGGCGCGAAAGCGUGGGGAGCAAACAGGAUUAGAUACCCUUGUAGUC
rnacentral:rRNA from 1 species